rfam:Hanseniaspora opuntiae strain AWRI3578 Hanseniaspora_opuntiae_AWRI3578_scaffold8, whole genome shotgun sequence.
UUAAUAUGAUGAAUAACUUUUAUCAGUUCUGCUUCUGAACCAAACUCAACAGGAAGAUAAUAUAAAAUACUUACCAAAACCGCUGAUAU